rnacentral:rRNA from 1 species
GUCUGCCCACUGAAUUAUUUAAAGGGCCGCAGUAUACUGACUGUGCUAAGGUAGCAUAAUAAUUUGCCCCUUAAUUAGGGGAUUGGAUGAAUGGCCUAACAGUUUAACUUUUUUUUAUUAAUAGCAUUCUUGAACUUAUUGUUUUAGUAAAAAUACUUAAUUAAUUCUUGAAGACGAUAAGACCCUAUAGAUCUUUAUUUUUUUUUAUUUUUAAAUUAUUAGAUUUAUAAUUUAAUUAAAAUAUAAUUAUUUUGCUGGGGUAGUAGGAGAAUGAUAUAAUUUUCUCUAGAGUUUAAUUUUUUUUUAUUAAAUUUAUCUAUUUUUUUAAUCUAAAAAGUUACCUUAGGGAUAACAGCGUAAUAUUUUUGGUGAGUUCAUAUCGAUAAAUUAUCUUGCGACCUCGAUG